CUAACAAACAAACAAACCUGAAACUCAGCUCAAACUUAUAUAUUUAAUCAAUUUUCAAUCAACUACAGACGAUUUAAUGCGCUCAGGGUGAUUAGCAGUGAGAAAAAUAUAUUAUCGUUCAGUAUUGUUAUCAAGUAUGCAAGGAAUCGGACGAAGAGAAGGCGGCAAAUCAGGAAAUUCAAACUUGCCGGGUCCUUCUUUUCCCAGCAGAGCUUGAGGUAGGCGGACGUGUUCAGAGUGCUGCUGAAGUGUGUGUCUAGUGAUGUGCGGUGACGUGCAGUGUUCUCGAUUCAAAGGGAAGGCUAACUUUGGCCCUCGUGUCACUGUUGCCCCACCCUGCCCGUGGGAGUUUGGUGGACCUAGCGCAGCACUGAGUGGGGCUGUCAGGUAGCAGGCAGUUCAUUGGGAUUGCCUGCAGCUCCACUUCCUCCACAUCAGCUCUGUGCCAGGGAUGCCAGGCUCCUGCCAUCGACACAAAGCUGGUGUGCUGGAGGAACUCUGCUCCAGCACUGAAGCACGUGCGCCUCGUCUCUUCAGUAUUGGUAAGUACCCCCUUUUCAAGCCAUCGCGGGACAACGUGGGACAGCGCGGGAGCUCCAGCAUCAGCACAAAUUGUGCAGCACAAACUAUGCAAAAUGUACGGUAAAGUUUUCUUUUUUGGCGUUAGGAUAUCUAAUCUCUUGCCUUUCAGGUAACAUUAAUCUGUCCAGUCUUUGCCUUUCAGGUACCACUAACCCUUAAUUAAGUCUUUGCGGGCCCUUCCAGUUAGUUUUGUGUCAUGUAGCUUCAGGAGGAUGCAGGAAUACCAGGGAUGAAGAUAUCCCGCAUCAGCUUCUGCUAUUUAAAAAUGAUUGCGUACAACGAACACUGCUUCAAGCCAACUUCAUGAUAGCCAAUCAAGAAUAAGACCAACCUGGAGAAAUAUAUUUCCAGAGAAUGCUUAAUUCUCCCUGUUCUGUGAGAUGGAGAGGAACAAGAGAAAACAGAUGAACAUGCAGGUGUCUCUUCAGGGGAGGAGGAAUGGAAGGCACUCACUGUGAGAAGUGAGGAGAAGGGCUCCGAAACGGAGGUGGCCAGGGAGGACGCCCCUAGGAGUGACGCCAGGUCUGCCAGAGGGGAAGAGGAAGGCCAAAGC